rnacentral:rRNA from 1 species
UGAGUGCGAGCUGCUACGGCAGCGAAGUAGGUGAUGUCAAGCUUCCAAGAAAAGCCCUAUACCCGUUAAGGCAUGACUGCCUGUACCCGAAACCGACACAGGUGGGGUGGUAGAGAAUACCGAGGGGCGCGAGGUAACUCUCUCUAAGGAACUCGGCAAAAUGGCCCCGUAACUUCGGGAGAAGGGGUGCCACCGCAAGGUGGUCGCAGUGAAGAGGCCCAGGCGACUGUUUACCAAAAACACAGGUCUCCGCUAAGUCGCAAGACGAUGUAUGGGGGCUGACGCCUGCCCAGUGCCGGAAGGUUAAGGAAGCUGGUCAGCGUAAGCGAAGCUGGCGACUGAAGCCCCGGUGAACGGCGGCCGUAACAAUAACGGUCCUAAGGUAGCGAAAUUCCUUGUCGGGUAAGUUCCGACCCGCACGAAAGGCGUAACGAUCUGGGCGCUGUCUCGGAGAGAGGCUCGGCGAAAUAGAAUUGUCUGUGAAGAUGCGGACUACGUGCACCCGGACAGAAAGACCCUAUGAAGCUUUACUGUAGCUUGGUAUUGUGCCCAGGCUCGCAAUGCGCAGGAUAGGUGGGAGGCUUUGAUCAUCGGCUUGCGGGUCGAUGUGAGCCACUGGUGAGAUACCACUCUUUGCGAGCUAGGGUUCUAACAGCCACCCGUGAUCCGGGGGCUGGACAGUAUCAGGUGGGCAGUCUGACUGGGGCGGUCGCCUCCUAAAAGGUAACGGAGGCGCGCAAAGGUUCCCUCAGGCUGGUUGGAAAUCAGCCGACGAGUGUAAAGGCAGAAGGGAGCUUGACUGUGAGACCUACAAGUCGAACAGGGACGAAAGUCGGCCUUAGUGAUCCGACGGUUCUGAGUGGAAGGGCCGUCGCUCAACGGAUAAAAGUUACUCUAAGGAUAACAGGCUGAUCUCCCCCAAGAGUUCACAUCGACGGGGAGGUUUGGCACCUCGAUGUCGGCUCAUCGCAACCUGGGGCUGAAGUCGGUCCCAAGGGUUGGGCUGUUCGCCCAUUAAAGCGGUACGCGAGCUGGGUUCAGAACGUCGUGAGACAGUUCGGUCCAUAUCCGGUGCAUGCGCAGGAAUAUUGAGAGGAGUUCUCCCUAGUACGAGAGGACCGGGAGGAACGCACCUCUGGUGUACCAGUUAUCGUGCCAACGGUAAACGCUGGGUAGCCAUGUGCGGAGAGGAUAACCGCUGAAAGCAUCUAAGUGGGAAGCCCACCUCAAGAUGAGUAUUCCCAUGGCAUAAGCCAGUAAGGUCACGGGAAGAACACCCGUUGAUAGGCUCUACGUGGAAGCGCAGUAAUGCGUGAAGCGGAGGAGUACUAAUAGACCGAGGGCUUGAC